CCUGGGUAGUUCGCUACUGGUAGCCAACAUGGCGUCUUGUCAGGAGAGAUCGUAUUAAUUUCAAUUAAAAUCAGUGGUAUUUCAGAGUUUCUUUGUGCAAAACUAUGAAAUAAUAAGUAUGCAAUUAAAAUUUGAACGGGUAGUAUCAUUAAACUCGAGAAUUUAACGUAAACAAGUGUAUUAUGCGAAUGUGGUUAUGGAUGGCGUUACUACGCAGUUUCAUCAACAAACAACCGUCACAGAAAUCGACAGAAACUGUCAUGGCUGCCAGUCACGUCGACGAGAAAGAUUUCCCACCGUUUAUUUUGCAUGGAAGCACAUUUCAUUAUUAAGACGUCAACACGAAUCAUCCUCGUGGUUUCGAUAGAGGACAUCCAAGUGAUAAACAUCUCUCGAUUUGUUGCUUCAGUUCUUCCUCCUGGACAACCUCUGACACUUGGGCGCUGAUGGGUGUCACUGAUGGGCGCCAUGGACAGGGUGAGACCAAACGGAUCUGUUUUUCCUUCUUCACAGGAGGAUUAACGUCGUGGAAAGAAUGAAAUGUUGGCGGAAGAAGGAAUAAGAGGGUGAAUUAGACGAUAAAAGAGAAUCCACGGGAAUCGAUGACACCCUCUGUCCCAUGACAAUUGGAGGUGCUGAGAAAGGAGUGGUUGCUGGACACGCAGAUAAGUAGCUACACACCUGGACCAUUUGACCACGUGCGUGAAUGUCCUGAAUGUUGCUGGACGAUACCAUGGACACUGUAUUAGUACCGGUAAUUUCGCCAUGAUGCACCGGACAUGGAUCACAGCGGAAGACAGAUGACAUUGUUACGUGUCUCUCCAGACAGGGAGACAAUGACCCAUCACAACAUAGCGACCAGAUAGAAAUAUUGCGAUAUAUUGUAAUAAUUUAAAAAAUUUAUGUAUCUUUGAUUUUCUAAGUCUUUAUUAAUGUUUCAUAGAACAGAGUUGAUAAAUGUUGUUGAUUGAAAAAAAAAAAAAUAAAAGGAGUAAAAGAGGAAGUGUAUCCCUUUUCCAUAGAGUCGAAUCGUCAUUUGCCGUGUGUCUAGUCGGCAGACGAUGCAUAUCUCGUCCGGGACACGACGGUGAUAACAAUGAUAAUGACGAUGACGAGCAGCAGAGACCGAGUCGAAUGACAGAGUCGAGCGAACCACGUCUCGUAGACAAUGCCUGCUGAAUUUCCGCUCCGGUUAUUCACCACUGUGUUAUGCAUAAAAUGAGCGCCGAAUCUGAUACACACACGCGCGCGCGUCUUGAUGCAAGAGCUUUGUGAAUGAGAACCAUUCGAACGGGCUUGAUGACACUUCGAUACGUUUCUCCCGGAACGACAAGAUUGCAUCCGUUUCUAUCGAUCGGCUACGAUGACAGCUUUCAGAUUCACCAAGCUUGGAAAACAGAACGGAAAGUUGCAGUCUGAUGGUUGAUUACAGCCAGAGAGAAUCGGGAGAUUUGAGAUAACGAGAUUUCAACUUAAAUUGUUAUACAAUGGAACUUAAGCUUUAUAACGUAGAAUUUAAGAUUUCUAACUCCUAUUUGGAGAAAGUAAAGACUUCAAAAAUUGUUCUAUCUUCAGAUUGUUGCAUUAUGCUUUCCUAGAAGUACCAAGAUUCUUUCUACUGUUCUUUACUUUGAUACCAAGAAUCUGUCCGGAAGGUCGGCGACGCAGGGUACUUAGACUUAAGGCUGCGUUCAGACACGGCUAGUAAUUUAGUCGAGUGGCGAGUAAUUUAGUAACUUACUAUGUAUGGACACUACAGUUCAGUCGAGUAGUUUAGUAAAACGAUUUAGUCGAGUAGAUCCGUUUCUUAGAAGCCUAACCAGGCUUCCGAA